rnacentral:rRNA from 1 species
AACGAACGCUGGCGGCAUGCCUUACACAUGCAAGUCGAACGGCAGCACGGGGGCAACCCUGGUGGCGAGUGGCGAACGGGUGAGCAAUGCAUCGGAACGUGCCCAGUAGUGGGGGAUAACCAGUCGAAAGACUGGCUAAUACCGCAUACGACCCAAGGGUGAAAGCGGGGGACCGUAAGGCCUCGCGCUAUUGGAGCGGCCGAUGUCUGAUUAGCUAGUUGGCGGGGUAAGAGCCCACCAAGGCGACGAUCAGUAGCUGGUCUGAGAGGACGACCAGCCACACUGGGACUGAGACACGGCCCAGACUCCUACGGGAGGCAGCAGUGGGGAAUUUUGGACAAUGGGCGCAAGCCUGAUCCAGCCAUGCCGCGUGCGGGAAGAAGGCAUUCGGGUUGUAAACCGCUUUUGGCAGGAACGAAACGGCGCAGGCCAAUACCUUGCGCUAAUGACGGUACCUGCAGAAUAAGCACCGGCUAACUACGUGCCAGCCGCCGCCGUAAAAC